AACUUCUGGGUAGAACAGUGAGUCACUGGGAAUUGGUUUGAUAUUCUGUCCAUGUAGCAGGAUAAUGGUCGUGGGUUCUCCUGUAGGGCCUAUGGCCCAUCUAGCUGCAGAUAAAGAAACUAAUAUUGGUCAGACUUAGUCACUACAGCGAAAUAUAUGACCCAGACCACUGAUGAAGAAAAUGGUUUAUCUUCUCCUCAGUCUUUAAGGUUCAAGGGUGUGGAGCCUGCAUUAGGUAGUGGCUCACAUGCUAUAUGAGUUCUGCACUUUGCAAGUUUCUCCCACAGAAGUGGCAAACAUAUAAAAAGAACAAAUUUUCAACCAUUGGCAUGCAGUUCUCCUUAAUCGGAUGAAAACAAUAAAUGUUACCAAAAAAACUUGCAAACUAAGUUUGCAGAUGACCACAGGCCCAUCACAAAUAAACAAGCUGGACGGAGCCAUUUCAAGAAAACACACAUAAUAACUGAUGGGGUGGUGGGAAAGCAUGUGAGCCAAAGGUCCUUCCCCUUCAACAAAGUAAAGAUUAUGUUCCUUAAGACACCCUGGGAAAAGAGUGCAAGCAGCAAGGAGUGUGAGCAUCCAAGAACUGCUGGAAGGGGAACAUAUAGGUUUACAUCUGCCUUUUAAAUAUGUCUUGGAGGAAACUUGAAAGCAAACAAAUCCCUGCUCUGCAGUGGUCUAAGCAAGCUGCCAAUCCACAGCCUGAGCCAAUUCAAGCUUUGGACCCUUAACUUGUAGGCUCUUAGUGGAGAGGGAAUAAGAGACUUAAAAACUGAAUUCACAGCCCACACCUCUUCUUUGUGUACACUUUGUUUGGCUUCAAUUCUACUGAUGACCCACCUGACUGAGAAGGGCCAUUGACCUUUUCCUAAACCCCAGAUUGUGUCCUGUCACUAGGACAUCAGGAUAGAUUAUGUGGGAGCUCUCUUCCAGCCCUCUGUCCUUGUCCCUUGUUCUGUCAUGCAGGGAGUAAAUAUAUCUCCAUAUGUGGAUGCCCCCCCUCAUAGAAAGCUUGGAUCUCAUUUCUUCUUGGAUCUGUACUAUGGUCUGACUCCUUAACUGAGCUACGAGUACAACACCCACAAUUCCUCUCCACUUUCCUAUGUGCUGAACUUAAGUCUGGAUUAUAUUUUA